CUUCUUAAAUUUAACUUCUCUUUUUUGUAGUUAGUUCUUCCAUUAUAUUUUACUUUUUAGUUUCUUCUUUGUUUACUUUUCAGGAGGAGUAGGAGAUUGAUAACACAUCAAAAAGUUUUCACUAUGUCUCAAAAUAAUGAUGUUUCCACAAAUCAGAAUGAGCAGGCUUUCCAAGCUCAUGUUCAUCACGAUUUUGUGCAGCCCAGGUCUCAAAAUAAUGAUGUUUCCACAAAUCAGAAUGAGCAGGCUUUCCAAGCUCCUGUUCAUCACGAUUUUGUGCAGCCCAGGCCUAUGUUUAAUCCUGUUCACGUAUCCUCCUUUAAUAUGGGGCAAAACUUACCUCC